GACGAACGCUGGCGGCGUGCUUAACACAUGCAAGUCGAACGGAAAGGCCCUGCUUUUGUGGGGUGCUCGAGUGGCGAACGGGUGAGUAACACGUGAGUAACCUGCCCUUGACUUUGGGAUAACUUCAGGAAACUGGGGCUAAUACCGGAUAGGAGCUCCUGCUGCAUGGUGUGGGUUGGAAAGUUUCGGCGGUUGGGGAUGGACUCGCGGCUUAUCAGCUUGUUGGUGGGGUAGUGGCUUACCAAGGCUUUGACGGGUAGCCGGCCUGAGAGGGUGACCGGCCACAAUGGUACUGAGAGACGGCGCAGACUCCUACGGGAGGCAGCAGUGGGGAAUAUUGCACAAUGGGCGGAAGCCUGAUGCAGCAACGCCGCGUGCGGGAUGACGGCCUUCGGGUUGUAAACCGAUUUCGCCUGUGACGAAGCGUGAGUGACGGUAAUGGGUAAAGAAGCACCGGCUAACUACGUG
rnacentral:rRNA from 1 species